CAUACCAUUUGCAAAAGUAGACAACCCAGGGUAUUCAAUAUGGGUUAUGUCCAGUCUUUUUUAGCAGCUACUCAGUCACAAACAUUGGCCAAAGUUAGCGUUCAUAUUUGUUUGUGUGUAAAAAAUCCUAAAAAAUAUAUUUACGCUAACUUUGGCUAGUGUUUGUGAUUAAGUGGCUACUAAAAAAAUACUGAACAUACCCCACUGGCAAUACCUUGGGUUGUCUCAUUUUGCAAAUGGUACG